rnacentral:rRNA from 1 species
GCGGCCGAGCGCCAGCGCGUGGCUGGAACACCUCCUUCGUGAGUAACACGUGGGCAACCUGCCCUGCACUCUGGGAUAAGCCCGGGAAACUGGGUCUAAUACCGGAUACGACCUUCCAUCGCAUGGUGGGGGGUGGAAAGUUCCGGCGGUGCAGGAUGGGCCCGCGGCCUAUCAGCUUGUUGGUGGGGUAAUGGCCUACCAAGGCGACGACGGGUAGCCGGCCUGAAAGGGCGACCGGCCACACUGGGACUGAAACACGGCCCAAACUCCUACGGGAGGCAGCAGUGGGGAAUAUUGCGCAAUGGGCGAAAGCCUGACGCAGCGACGCCGCGUGAGGGAUGACGGCCUUCGGGUUGUAAACCUCUUUCAGCAGGGAAGAAGCGCAAGUGACGGUACCUGCAGAAGAAGCACCGGCUAACUACGUGCCAGCAGCCGCGGUAAUACGUAGGGUGCGAGCGUUGUCCGGAAUUAUUGGGCGUAAAGAGCUCGUAGGCGGCUUGUCACGUCGGAUGUGAAAACCCGGGGCUCAACCCCGGGCCUGCAUUCUAUACGGGCAGGCUAGAGUUCGGCAGGCGAGACUGGAAUUCCUGGUGUAGCGGUGAAAUGCGCAGAUAUCAGGA